GAAAUUGAUAGUAUACUGUUUGGAUGCGAGUGAUACAAUACUAAUUUGUGGAUAAAAAUUGUUAAACUUUCACCGGAUCUUCUGUGAGGUGAUUCAGAAAUUUAUCUACACUAUAAGAGCGGGAUUAGCAAGUAUAACAGUUGUUGGCUUUGUGUGGUUACAAGUGUUACCGAUGUCAUAGUGUCGUGUUUUAAACGUGUAAAUAUAGUAUCAUUACCAGAGCUUUACCUUUCUUUAACAAUAUGGCAAUUCCUGAAAAUUAUUCCGGUUGCCAGGAGAGCCAGAUGCCCACCGGAAACAACUGUCAGAUGGUAAUUAACCCAAUACAAGUUCGAUCAUUUUCUGUUACGAUCCGUGAGUUUUCUGUUAGUCGCCGUGUGGAAUUGGAAAAUUCAAGAAUUAGGAAUACAUCGUUUGUAUCUGUGGCAAGAAUAAUCCGACGAACACAACAAUUGUGAA